GACGAACGCUGGCGGCGUGCCUAAUACAUGCAAGUAGAACGCUGAAGAGAGGAGCUUGCUCUUCUUGGAUGAGUUGCGAACGGGUGAGUAACGCGUAGGUAACCUGCCUGGUAGCGGGGGAUAACUAUUGGAAACGAUAGCUAAUACCGCAUAAAAUUGAUUAUUGCAUGAUAAUUAAUUGAAAGAUGCAACUGCAUCACUACCAGAUGGACCUGCGUUGUAUUAGCUAGUUGGUGAGGUAACGGCUCACCAAGGCGACGAUACAUGGCCGACCUGGGAGGGUGAUCGGCCACACUGGGACUGAGACAAGGCCCAGACUCCUACGGGAGGCAGCAGUAGGGAAUCUUCGGCAAUGGGGGGAACCCUGACCGAGCAACGCCGCGUGAGUGAAGAAGGUUUUCGGAUCGUAAAGCUCUGUUGUAAGAGAAGAACGGGUGUGAGAGUGGAAAGUUCACACUGUGACGGCAUCUUACCAGAAAGGGACGGCUAACUACGUG
rnacentral:rRNA from 1 species